rnacentral:rRNA from 1 species
UACGUAGGGUGCAAGCGUUAAUCGGAAUUACUGGGCGUAAAGCGUGCGCAGGCGGUUGUGCAAGACAGAUGUGAAAUCCCCGGGCUUAACCUGGGAACUGCAUUUGUGACUGCACGGCUAGAGUACGGUAGAGGGGGAUGGAAUUCCACGUGUAGCAGUGAAAUGCGUAGAGAUGUGGAGGAACACCGAUGGCGAAGGCAGCCCCCUGGGCUAAGAUUGACGCUCAUGCACGAAAGCGUGGGGAGCAAACAGG